AUUGAACGCUGGCGGCAGGCCUAACACAUGCAAGUCGAGCGGAUGAAGGGAGCUUGCUCCUGGAUUCAGCGGCGGACGGGUGAGUAAUGCCUAGGAAUCUGCCUGGUAGUGGGGAUAACGUCCGGAAACGGGCGCUAAUACCGCAUACGUCCUGAGGGAGAAAGCGGGGGAUUUUCGGACCUCACGCUAUCAGAUGAGCCUAGGUCGGAUUAGCUAGUUGGUGGGGUAAAGGCCUACCAAGGCGACGAUCCGUAACUGGUCUGAGAGGAUGAUCAGUCACACUGGAACUGAGACACGGUCCAGACUCCUACGGGAGGCAGCAGUGGGGAAUAUUGGACAAUGGGCGAAAGCCUGAUCCAGCCAUGCCGCGUGUGUGAAGAAGGUCUUCGGAUUGUAAAGCACUUUAAGUUGGGAGGAAGGGCAGUAAGUUAAUACCUUGCUGUUUUGACGUUACCAACAGAAUAAGCACCGGCUAACUUCGUG
rnacentral:rRNA from 1 species